rnacentral:rRNA from 1 species
GCGUGCAGGAUGAAGGCCUUCGGGUUGUAAACUGCUUUUGUACGGAACGAAACGCGCUGGGUUAAUACCUCGGCGUAAUGACGGUACCGUAAGAAUAAGCACCGGCUAACUACGUGCCAGCAGCCGCGGUAAUACGUAGGGUGCAAGCGUUAAUCGGAAUUACUGGGCGUAAAGCGUGCGCAGGCGGUUUUGUAAGACAGGUGUGAAAUCCCCGGGCUUAACCUGGGAACUGCAUUUGUGACUGCAAGGCUAGAGUACGGCAGAGGGGGAUGGAAUUCCGCGUGUAGCAGUGAAAUGCGU